GAAAGCAUUGGGCAUAUCAGAGAGCAAUACUUGCCUCAUUUCCCACAACUCCCUGAAGGGCCAUUGUGUGUGUUCAUUAGUCUCUGAAAUUAAGAAAAAGACUCACAAAAGCAUUUAAGAAUGUUUGCUGAUGUUUUUAACCUUAUACAUGUUUUCUUAUCUGGCUUAACCAGUUUUGAAAGACAAGUGUUUCAUCGUCUUGAGAACGCUGACUUAUGAUGCCCUUGAUUGGCAUUAAGGAAACAAACUCUGGGAAAGAAUGAUGACGUCCUGUUAUAUUCUCAUCUUUGUAUUGCUCUCUCAAGGGCACCCAGUCUCCCUGGGGAGGUGAAGGCUACCUUUACAUGUCUUCCCAUCCAACUGGAGAGUGAAUCCAACAGGACAACUGCAGUGGACACCUGUCGAAGUAUCCUUACAGGUGCGGUCACAGCCUCCAUUGUUGACAGCACACGUUUCUGGCAAGGAGAAAUAUGGGGGAGGAGGAGCCAGAAGAAGAAACAGCUCGAAGAAUUGACUAUUGUUGCCUCUGGCAAAUGGGAUGAGGAAAUGGGAAGUUAUGAGACAAGGAAAUGAUGAGUUUCAUUACAAGCCUAGAAGUAAUUAAGCGUUUAUGUUACUCAUUUGUACUAUUUUCACUUAAGACAAUGAAAAUUUAUAAUUUCUAAAGAGCAGAAAAGAGCUCGGAAAGGUUACCUGCUUGGUAACCAAUGGCUGUAUGAUAUGUUGCCUGACUGUUAAAUCCAGAAACUGUCAAAAGAUGGGUUUUGUUUAGGUUGAGCCAGACUUUCUCCAGAAGGAGUAACGCACCAAAGGAUCUGUCUGACUCCCACCCCCAUGACCACCUCUAUUUCUGCUCAUCUCCAGCUUGACCGCUGGACCUUCAGGCAGGUCUUCCCUUGUCCCACAGCCAAGUGUUGCCCCUCUCCAUUCAUCUCUUCUACUAUUAUCAUCAGCUGAGUCAGAAAUAGAAGACUCAGUGGACACAAAAAAAGACUAGCUGCCAUUCUGAGCUAGAGGCUGCUUCAGAGGAAGACAGCUGACUUCACUGACCACCCACUCAGUCCCAGGCACUGGACUCUGGGCACCUUUCCAUAUUAUUAUCUUAAUUGAGCAUCCCAACUGAUAUGGCCAGGCUUUAUGUCCCCACUCAAAUCUCAUCCUGAAUUAUAAUCCCCAUAAUCCCCUCGUGUCAAGGGAGAGACCAGGUGGAGGUGAUUGGAUUAUGGGGGCGGUUCCCAUGCUGUUCUCAUGAUAGAGUGAGAUCAUGAGAUCUCAUGGUUUUACAAGUGUUUGGUAGUUCCUCCUGCAUUUAUUCUCCUUCCUGCCACCUUGUGAAGAAGGUACCUUGCUUCCCCUUUGCCUUCCACCAUGAUUAUAAGUUUCCUGAGGCCUCCCCAGCCAUGUGGAACUGUGAGUCAAUUAAGCCUCUUUCUUUAUCAAUUACCCAGUCUCAGGCAGUUCUUUACAGCAGUAUGAAAAUGGGCGAAUACCCUGGCCCUAAGAGGUAGACUUUAUUACAUCCAUUUCAAAGAAAGACCAAGAGACAGAGCCUCAGGGCAGUUUGCCAAGUCUUACAGCUAGGUGGGGGCUGCAUUGGGACGUUAACCUGAUUAUUCUGAUGGACACGAGACCAAGGGUCUUGCUUGGUUGGUGAUUAAGCAACAGCACUGGUGAAGAACAGACACACACCCUGGUUCACAGGAGCUGCUCACCCCAGUCCAGCUGGUCUGAGGGCAUGUGGCUCCCAAGUUCAGGUCUGAUGCAAUAAGUUGGGGAGGGAAAAGGACAAUUGCAGUGGCCAAGGAAAGGGAGUGAAGGUGCCUACCCAU
rnacentral:lncRNA from 1 species